AUUGAACGCUAGCGGGAUGCCUUACACAUGCAAGUCGAACGGCAGCGGGUCCUUCGGGAUGCCGGCGAGUGGCGAACGGGUGAGUAAUGUAUCGGAACGUGCCCAGUAGCGGGGGAUAACUACGCGAAAGCGUGGCUAAUACCGCAUACGCCCUUAGGGGGAAAGGCGGGGAUCCUUCGGGACCUGUCACUAUUGGAGCGGCCGAUAUCGGAUUAGCUGGUUGGUGGGGUAAUGGCCUACCAAGGCGACGAUCCGUAGCUGGUUUGAGAGGACGACCUGCCACACUGGGACUGAGACACGGCCCAGACUCCUACGGGAGGCAGCAGUGGGGAAUUUUGGACAAUGGGGGCAACCCUGAUCCAGCCAUCCCGCGUGUGCGAUGAAGGCCUUCGGGUUGUAAAGCACCUUUGGCAGGGAA
rnacentral:rRNA from 1 species